GACAUAUCGACACCCAGCCAAAUCAAAGAUGAACACAGACUCCAUAUUGCUGUCGUAGUUUAUUGCUUUAACGACCAUAGAAUUAAUCACGAUCAUCAAUCCUUCUAGUACACUCUCUCUCUUUUUAGGCUGUUCUUUAUUUACCAGCCUGUGUGAACGUGACCGCUCAACCUCGAACUUGUGUAUCUUUCUUCAACUUUCCUAUCAAGAUUUUCAGUCUCCGUUUCGUUAGGAUGUUAAAUUAUAGCUUUGGGAUCAGACCCACAUUAGUUCCUUAUACAUGAUAAUAGUGGGGUUUAAGGGGUUUUUUUUUAUAACUUUUGUGAAGUUUGUUGGGAUUUUCCUUCUAUGAUUGCAUUGUUUGAUAAAACCAAGUUUUGCAUGAUUUGACCAGCUGAUUGACAGAAACCCUUUGGUAUGAACCUCUUAUGUUUGCUUUUCCUUGUCCUGUAAAGCUGUUUUGGAACUUGUGUGGUUCAAUCCCUUGUUACUUUUGGAUUUGCAGGAGUGUGUGAAAGUGAAGAUAAAGAUGGAAGUUUAUCUUGCUUCGGUUCAGAAAAAUAUGAAAUCUGAAGGAGAGAUUGUGGAAGCUGCAAUUGUACCUCUGUUGAAACUUAUAGCCCUUACUCUCUUUGGUUUAAUCCUUGCUCACCCAAAAAUUCAACUUGUCCCUAAAGCUACUUUCAAGCUCCUUAGCAAGCUUGUUUUUGCUUUGUUCUUGCCUUGCUUAAUAUUCACCCAGCUUGGUCCAUCCAUUACUCUCAAGAACAUUGUUCAGUGGUGGUUCAUUCCUGUAAAUGUGAUCAUUAGCACUGCCAUUGGUUGCAUAUUGGGAUGCUUGGUGGCGAUUAUAUGCCGGCCACCAAGGGAGUUUGUUCGGUUCACAAUCAUCAUGACUGCAUUUGGCAACACUGGCAAUAUUCCACUUGCAAUAGUUUCAUCGGUGUGUCACAGUUCUGAUGCUCCUUUUGGUCCCGAUUGUUACGGAAAUGGUAUUGCUUAUGUAUCUUUUUCUCAAUGGGUUUCUGUUAUUCUUGUUUACACUCUUGUUUACCACAUGAUGGAGCCCCCAUUGGAGCAGCAUGAGAUUGUUGAUGAAGAGAUUCAGGAAAUGCCUGUUGAUCUCAGCAAUCCACUCCUUGUAGAAGCUGAGUGGCCAGGAAUAGAAGAAAAGGAAACAGAAAAUAGCAAGACACCUUUCAUUGCUAGGCUCUUCAACAGCAUCUCUAACAUUUCACGAACAAAUAUUCCAGAUAUUGAAACAAUAGAAGAGGGAGGAAAGGAGGGAGGUGAACGUAAUCCCGAGUCCAUUAGGUGCUUGGCAGAGCCUAGGGUGGUUAGAAAGAUUAGAGUUGUUGCUGAACAAACACCAAUUCAUCAAAUUCUCCAGCCUCCAACCAUUGCUUCUUUCUUAGCUAUUGUCAUUGGUGUGAUUCCUGCUCUCAAACAUAUUGUUUACGGUGCUGAUGCUCCUCUUCAGGUUAUCACAGACAGUUUAGAUAUGAUGGCUCAGGCCGCAGUCCCCUCAGUCAUGCUUGUUCUUGGGGGAAUGAUUGGUGAGGGUCCAAAUGAAUCGAAACUUGGGAUUCGGACCACGAUUGGCAUUAUUGUUGCAAGGCUUUUGGUGCUUCCAUUUAUUGGAAUUGGGGUCAUCUAUUUGGCUGGUAAAUGGAAUCUUUUAAUCCCCGGGAACCAUUUGUACCAGUUUGUUCUUUUGCUGCAAUACACAACACCUAGUGCCAUUUUGUUGGGAGCUAUUGCAAGCUUGAGAGGUUAUGCAGUCAAAGAGGCUUCAGCACUUAUCUUCUGGCAGCAUGUGUGCGCCGUCGUCUCUCUUUCAAUAUAUAUGAUUGUCUACUUCAAGCUGCUGCUUUCAUAUAUCUAAGGUUCUUAAACCUCCAUGUUUGAUGUUUCCCAAAUACAUUUAUGCACUAGAUUUUUUUCCAGCCGAGGAAGGCAUUUGAGGGUGGCCAAGUCAUUAAUUUAAUUAUAUGGACGUUCGAGGGCUGAUUUCAGUCAUAAUAUUUGAUCAUACUGGAUUGAUCAACGGGAUGAUUCAAUUGCUUUCUGCAGUGUCUGCUGCAACCUCCGGAGAAUAAAUUCUUGCUUGAUAAUGUGAUUUUGGCUAAUCUUAUCUUACCAGAUUUAUCAAGGGCCUUUUGCUAUGUUUACCAGCACACAUUGCCUUGCGCAAGGCAAAAUGCAUCAGGCAGUUGAACAUCAAACUAGCUUAUAUAACAUGGUGGCCUUCAAGGUAAUCAAAUCCCAUGUGAGAGUGAUCGAAGUUUUAACAAUGAAUGAGUAAAUGCUACUCCUUGAGCCAAUUUAAUGUAAAUUAAUAAAGAAUUAAGACUUGUAAGUUGGCUUUCCACUGAUAAUAAACAAUAAAUAUUUGAUGCUUCACUUGAGGGUAAUCAAAUCCCACAUGAGAGAUUGAAGUUUA